GAUGAAGAACGCAGCGAAAUGCGAUAAGUAAUGUGAAUUGCAGAAUUCAGUGAAUCAUCGAGUCUUUGAACGCACAUUGCGCCCCCUGGUAUUCCGGGGGGCAUGCCUGUCCGAGCGUCAUUGCUGCCCUCAAGCACGGCUUGUGUGUUGGGCCCCGCCCCCCGGCUCCCGGGGGGCGGGCCCGAAAGGCAGCGGCGGCACCGCGUCCGGUCCUCGAGCGUAUGGGGCUUCGUCACCCGCUCCGUAGGCCCGGCCGGCGCCCGCCGGCGACCCCCCUCAAUCUUUUCAGGUUGACCUCGGAUCAGGUAGGGAUACCCGCUGAACUUAAGCAUAUCAAUAAGCAGAGGA
rnacentral:misc_RNA from 1 species